AGACACAAGAGCCGCCCUGAGCCGCCCGGCCCGCGGCACCCCGGAGGGGCGGGUCCCCCUGAAGGCCCGACCCCGCCGGGAGCAGUUUGAAAAGAAUCCAACAGGAUUUGUGGCAGGUAAGGGCUGCAGAGCCGCUCGCUCCUGCCCUCCAGCUUGUGAGCCAGCGGAGGGCAAAGGGAGAGUAAAACCAAGAAAACUGGGCUGUCCUGCUGGAAACAAGUCUGCUUAAGUGAAGGAAGGAGGAAAAUGCAAAACAAACCACCAAACUGACUCUUAAUGAGUAAAGAAAGUUUCCUAAGGAGGGUCUUGACAGGACACAGGCACAGAGAAACUGAGGCUGGGACUCUUCACGAGAACUGUGCUGAGCUCAGCCCCACCAGUGGCAGGAAGAGGCUUACAGGGCUCAGGAUGAGAAUGGCACCAGACAGGUUUGUGCCCACAAACUUAGACCCUUCUGAGAAGCUUUGCGUGUCCUUGUCCUGCAGAGCAAAACUCUGUUAUGCUUUGCUAAAAGUCUCCCAUCAAACAAACCUCCAAACUGAAGUGCUUUAGUGAAGAGCCCACGCUGACACAACACCAGCACCCAAUGCCUGGCGCUGGAGCCCUCAGCAGCAGCUUUGGGCACUGUCACUGCAGAGCCAACAGCCCAGAGGUGGGCUUGGUGCAGACCAACUGCUGCUCUUUAUGCUGACUCUGCUGUGAGUUAACCCCACAGCAGCCUCUCCUGUGGCUGCCACACUGAGUCUGUCUGGUGAGUGCUCACCAACACCUCACACCACAGGACAGGGGCAGCACCAGCAGUGAAGAGCAGGACGGGUGGUUUGAUGCAAGAGGAUACAGCUACAGUCAGCAGCAAAAAUUAGGAAGUCUGACAGCCAAUAGAAAGGUUAGAACAAAGUUCUGUUAUUGUAAGUGACAUAUCCACAAUUAUGUGCAAGAAAUUCAUUGGUGUUGGCAUUAGUGAGAGCAAAGAACACCCUCCACGCUCAGCACAGGGACAAUGUGAGGGCUCCAGCCAGAGACUGCACCUUCCUCUCCUCGCGUGGGUGACAGCACAAAACUCCCAAAUUAUGCUGAGGAUGGGACAAUCCAUGGGUAUGAGCAAAAAUCGUUCUUACUUCUCCACACAAAGCAGAAAUGCAGAAGUGUGCAGCUCCUGAUUUAGUGCCCCACUGACCCGUGUCUGUCUGCCUGUGUGUCCCUGCAGUCAGAGCUGAGUCCUGGUCAAUCUAAGGAGCUCACACCAAACGUUCAUUUUAGCUUCACACGUGCAGCGGAGUGAUUUCCAUGUUAAGCAUCCCUCUUGUUACCAGAUUUAUUCUCAAGGCUGUGGGUGACUCUGUCUGCUCUACCACCAGGUAUUACUGGCAUCCCCAAGAAAUGCACCAGCUUAGCACUUGCUGAAGCCAUUCCCGUGUCAGAAACUGCUCCUCAUGCCACAGCCCGGCCCCAACGCAGCUCAAGCAGCAUUUCGUGCAAAUAUGAUGAAAGAAGAGAGUACCUGGAUGAGGCAGCUGCAUGAAAACUGCAGACUUAGAGCAAGGCAGAGAAGCUUCACAGACACAGAAUGAAAGAAAUAAAUAGAGCCCAAUCCUGCACCAUCACCUCAUCCUUGGAAAUGAGCUGCUGGAGCUGCCACCGAUGCUGUGUUGCAAAUGGAAAGAUGCUGCCCAAGUGUCCUCCCACACUGACAGCAAGGAUGCUCCCCAAGAAACCCCUGUUCCCAAACCAUUCCAACAGCCCUGCCUUACUCCUGCUGCUCCUCUGCACCCUGAACAAACCAUCCCCGUGCCUGUGAGCCAGGGAUCCCCUGCAGGGCACAUGGUCCACAAGGAGGUGCUGCUGUUCUGAUACCCUGAAUUCUCUUUCCUUCACACGGAGUGACCUGGGAGACAAUUUUUGUGCUGGAUAAUAUCCAGGAUCUGAAUCAACAGGGUAACAUCUCAGAAACAAUUUAAUAUUCAUUUGACUCCACAAUGCACCAAUGUCUGACACAUAAACACAACCAAAGAGCCAACGAGGCUCCUAAAGCAGGAAAUGCCCACAUCUGCCCAUCCCAGAUGGUACCAGAACAGGCACUGACCUGGGGAGUGCUGGGAAGUGGCAAGUGAGGUCAUGGAGUUGGAGAGGUUGAGGUUUGCAGUGAUGCUGAGCUGGCUCUGCACCGCUGGGGGAUACGGAGAGGUGGGGGUCAGGAGAGAUUCUUCACUGGCUUCCUCAUCAAUUCCAGGCAAGUAUGUGUCAAUCAAGGCAUCAAGGAACUUCACUAUGAGCUCAGCAUAGUCUGGGAUUUGGGUUUGCUGUGGGAGAUGGGGGAAAAAAAAAAUUGUUAUUUCCUUUGUACUUUCCUGUCAAUUUGAGCUUUGCUCCAGAGCUCACUCUCAAGUCCCACUGUUUUGCCUGCAAAUUUUCAAGAGCAUUUGAUAUCUGUAAAAAGUGAUUUGUGGCCUUGUCCAGACCAAUCUAAAUGUACACACUGCAGACCAGGUGUCAGUGUGGCUCAGUGUGUGGGAGCCCAGGGCAGGAAAAGGGGCCGCAGAGCCCCUGCCCCAGCCCCACAGCUGGGCCACCUCCCUUGGGAUGGCUGGACACAUGGGCAGUGCUCCACUGGCUCUGCUCCAACACAAAGUUUAGCCUCCUGGAAUCAUCACCCUUAUCAAAUUAACCCCUACCCUGUCAGAUAGAUGUAAUGAACUGACCCUGGGAGCAGGAAAAGCUGCCCUCACACAUUGGCUGCUUUUACCCCACUUUGGUAACCUGCUGCAGGCCCAGGGCUGCUUUUACCCCUGGAGGUGCCCCUGAUGCUCUCUGCUCACUCCUUAUGAACAUCUUGGGUGCAGCACCAACGUGCCCAGAAAGGCCAAACAGCCCCGACCCCACUGAGCUCUUACCUUGGAGAAGGGGCCAGCAAACCUCCACAGCCCAUUAAAUCCAAAACCUGCAACAACAAAUGGAACCACAAUGAAAGCCCAGCUCUCACCUGACACAGAACAGAGUGCUCCCAGUACAGCACUUUUUUUUUUUUUU